rnacentral:misc_RNA from 1 species
AGCAGAUUGAAGGAAAAUUCUAGUGAAGCUGGCCCUAGUUUAAGGAGGCAGAAACAGAAAACAAAGAAUUCCUGGAAUGAGAAUUGUGCUGAUGUUGAAGAGUCAACACCAAACACAGACGAUGAGGAUUUGACUGUUGAAGAUCUAAUGCACAUGGCGGAAGAGUAUGCUGGUGAUGCUGAUGAAGAUUUGACCGUUGAAGAUUUGAUGAGCAUCGCUAAGGAGUAUGUUAAUGAGAAUGAGCAAGCUACAUCAGGCAAAGGAAAAAGUGGUCCAACGGAGGAUGCUAUUUCCAUGUCAAUAGGCUCAUUAAGUGAAGUUGACAAUCAAUCUUUGAGAAGAGAAACAAAUUUUGAUUGUAUUUCAAUUCAAGAGAGAACAAUUGAAGAUGCUUCUCCUAAGCUUAACAUGUCCGAGAAUCCGACCCAAGACAUGUUAGAUUUGUUUCUUGGUCCCCUAUUGAAGAAAACUCACG